AUCCAGGUGGGGGCCUCGGUGAGGGCUGCUUGGUAACCAAGACACAGUGUGAGGGUGCUGAGCAGCAUUAGGGGCAAGGGAGCAGGCAAGUGGGAGGCGGACCAUGAACCGCGGGGGCUGCGCGUCCAAUGCAGCCGCAGCUCCGCAGUGUCAAGGGCUCAGACACAGAUGAAGGCAAUGGAGAUGCACGAAGAGUGUUUGGGAGGUAGCUGAGCCAUCUCAAAGGCAGUAUCUUCACCAUGGGCCAGCCUCUGUGGCGUGGAACUGGAAAGCCUUUCCUACAGUUAGUAAUACCCUCCGGCACCUACUCUUGGCUCCAUCAUGAUUCUCUUCCUUCGGCUUGCUACUGUUUGAAGACUGAGCGGCUUUGCUGAUUCCUUCAUUCAACGAGUGUUUAUGGAACAGCGAUGUGCCAUUGUUCUAGUCACUAAGGAUCUAACAGUGACCAAUACAAAGAUCCUUCCUCCAGACAGCUCUGUUCAACUGUUGGUAGAAGUGAAAUCCAGGCCUGAGCUUAGAGCCAGUGCCUCUGCUCACAUGCCCAUUCCUGGUGGGAGGAGCGAGGGGCCAGGGGCCCCUCGUGUGGCGGAUGUGUGGGGAGAGUGCAGAGUGUACUGGAGUGAUAGCAGACAAGACAAAGGAGAACAGAGCGAAAUGCUAUAAAUAAAGAGGGGCCCGAGGGAGGGCCGCUUCACCAAGGUAGACCAAAUAAGGCCUGAAGUGGAAGGAAGGUAAUCUGUCUCCCCUCCCCAGCAUUGUGACUGCUUUGUCUGGGCUCUGUCACCACCCUGAUCAAGUAUCAGGCCCAAACAGGGGCCAUUUGCUGUGAACAUGCCAGCGGGAGUUCAGAGGAAAAGUUGCUAAAAUUACUACCAGGAAUGGGAGGAGGAGGGGUGCACUAGGGCAAGUCAGAGGAGACCUC